rnacentral:rRNA from 1 species
AUUGAACGCUGGCGGCAUGCUUUACACAUGCAAGUCGAACGGUAACAGGCCGCAAGGUGCUGACGAGUGGCGCACGGGUGAGUAAUGCAUCGGAACGUGCCCAGUCGUGGGGGAUAACUACUCGAAAGAGUAGCUAAUACCGCAUACGAUCUAUGGAUGAAAGCGGGGGACCGUAAGGCCUCGCGCGAUUGGAGCGGCCGAUGUCAGAUUAGGUAGUUGGUGGGGUAAAGGCUCACCAAGCCAACGAUCUGUAGCUGGUCUGAGAGGACGACCAGCCACACUGGGACUGAGACACGGCCCAGACUCCUACGGGAGGCAGCAGUGGGGAAUUUUGGACAAUGGGCGCAAGCCUGAUCCAGCAAUGCCGCGUGCAGGAAGAAGGCCUUCGGGUUGUAAACUGCUUUUGUACGGAACGAAACGGCUCUGGUUAAGACCCGGGGCUAAUGACGGUACCGUAAGAAUAAGCACCGGCUAACUACGU